rnacentral:rRNA from 1 species
UACGAAGGGUGCAAGCGUUACUCGGAAUUACUGGGCGUAAAGCGUGCGCAGGCGGCUUCUCAAGUCAGAUGUGAAAUCCCCGGGCUCAACCUGGGAACUGCGUUUGAAACUGGGAGGCUAGAGUGCGGCAGAGGGGGGUGGAAUUCCACGUGUAGCAGUGAAAUGCGUAGAUAUGUGGAGGAACACCGAUGGCGAAGGCAAUCCCCUGGGCCUGCACUGACGCUCAUGCACGAAAGCGUGGGGAGCAAACAGG